GCGAUCCAAACACAUUGACCAGAUACUGUACAUAUCUUAUCUAGUACAUUUAUGUUGUUGUAGUUAAAAAACAUGUAUCUAGACUUUUGGCAUGGGCUGGCCGCCUAGGUGCAUUGAUCAUCUCUUCUCUUUUGUUGGUGAUGCGCUCCUAGUCUUAAAUGGCCGGGUUGUGCCUGCGGUAUUGCUACUUUGAAUUUAUUAGAGUUCUCAAAGCAAACCUAUCAUCCGUAUAUAGUAAGUAACUAUUAUAUGCUGACAUUUUCCCCUGUUAGGAGCUGG
rnacentral:lncRNA from 1 species